rnacentral:rRNA from 1 species
UCUUAACAGAACCCUUCGGGGCGAAGAUAAGACGGAUUAGCGGCGGACGGGUGAGUAACACGUGAGUAACCUGCCUUUUACACAGGGAUAGCCUCGGGAAACCGGGAUUAAAACCUGAUGAAACUAUCAAAUCACAUGAUUAAGAAAGUUAAAACUCCGGUGGUAAAAGAUGGACUCGCGUCCCAUUAGCUAGUUGGUGAAGGUAACGGCCCACCAAGGCAACGAUGGGUAGCCGGCCUGAGAGGGUGAACGGCCACAUUGGAACUGAGAAACGGUCCAAACUCCUACGGGAGGCAGCAGUGGGGAAUAUUGCACAAUGGGGGAAACCCUGAUG